AGUGAACGCUGGCGGCAGGCCUAACACAUGCCAGUCGAACGGCAGCACAGUAAGAGCUUGCUCUCACGGGUGGCGAGUGGCGGACGGGUGAGGCAUACAUCGGAAUCUACUUUGUCGUGGGGGAUAACGGAGGGAAACUGACGCUAAUACCUAAUAAGACCUACGGGUGAAAGCAGGGGAUCUUCGGACAUUGGCAGAACUAAUAGGUCGAUGUCGGAUUUGCUAGUUGGCGGGGUAAAGGCCCACCAAGGCAACGAACCGUAGCUGGCCGGCGAGGAGGAUGGGCAAAUCUGGAACGGGGACAGGGUCAAGACUCCUAGGGGGGGCGGCGGUGGGGAAUAUUGGACAAUGGGGGCAGUCCUGAUGAGGCAAUACGGCGUGGGUGAGGAGGGCCUUGGGGUGGUAAAGUCCUUUUGUUGGGAAGGAAGAGGAGGAGGGUAAUACGCCGAUGUAGUGACGGUACCCAAAGAGUAAGCGACGGCUAACUUCGUG
rnacentral:rRNA from 1 species